CAGUAGCCACGGUAAUACGAAGGGUGCAAGCGUUAAUCGGAAUUACUGGGCGUAAAGCGUGCGUAGGCGGUUUGUUAAGUCUGCUGUGAAAUCCCCGGGCUCAACCUGGGAAUGGCAGUGGAUACUGGCAAGCUAGAGUGUGUCAGAGGAUGGUGGAAUUCCCGGUGUAGCGGUGAAAUGCGUAGAGAUCGGGAGGAACAUCAGUGGCGAAGGCGGCCAUCUGGGACAACACUGACGCUGAGGCACGAAAGCGUGGGGAGCGAACAGGAUUAGAUACCCCUGUAGUCCCUGUCUCUUAUAC
rnacentral:rRNA from 1 species